rnacentral:rRNA from 1 species
UGGGGAAUAUUGCACAAUGGGGGAAACCCUGAUGUAGCGACGCCGCGUGAGCGAAGAAGGUUUUCGAAUCGUAAAGCUCUGUCCUAUGAGAAGAUAAUGACGGUAUCAUAGGAGGAAGCCCCGGCUAAAUACGUGCCAGCAGCCGCGGUAAUACGAAGGGGGCUAGCGUUGUUCGGAUUUACUGGGCGUAAAGCGCACGUAGGCGGACUAUUAAGUCAGGGGUGAAAUCCCGGGGCUCAACCCCGGAACUGCCUUUGAUACUGGUAGUCUUGAGUUCGAGAGAGGUGAGUGGAAUUCCGAGUGUAGAGGUGAAAUUCGUAGAUAUUCGGAGGAACACCAGUGGCGAAGGCGGCUCACUGGCUCGAUACUGACGCUGAGGUGCGAAAGCGUGGGGAGCAAACAGG